rnacentral:rRNA from 1 species
GAUGAACGCUGGCGGCGUGCUUAACACAUGCAAGUCGAACGAAGCACUUUAUUUGAUUUCCUUCGGGACUGAUUAUUUUGUGACUGAGUGGCGGACGGGUGAGUAACGCGAGGGUAACCUGCCUUGUACAGGGGGAUAACAGUUGGAAACGGCUGCUAAUACCGCAUAAGCGCACGGCAUCGCAUGAUGCAGUGUGAAAAACUCCGGUGGUAUAAGAUGGACCCGCGUUGGAUUAGCGAGUUGGUGAGGUAACGGCCUACCAAGGCGACGAUCCAUAGCCGACCUGAGAGGGUGACCGGCCACAUUGGGACUGAGACACGGCCCAAACUCCUACGGGAGGCAGCAGUGGGGAAUAUUGCACAAUGGGCGAAAGCCUGAUGCAGCGACGCGGCGUAAGCGAAGAAGUAUUUCGGUAUGUAAAGCUCUAUCAGCAGGGAAGAUAAUGACGGUACCUGACUAAGAAGCACCGGCUAAAUACGUG